rnacentral:tRNA from 1 species
GCUUGUUCUGCGGGGGCACGCACCGCACCGCGUUGCUGAUGCGGCAAUCGAUCAGUUCGAGUCCGUCGUCCGGGCG